UACCAGCACCCCGAGUGGUCGGGACGAUUAUUGGGCCUAAAGCAUCCGUAGCCGGUUCUACAAGUCUUCCGUUAAAUCCACCUGCUCAACAGUUGGGCUGCGGAGGAUACUAUAGAGCUAGGAGGCGGGAGAGGCAAGCGGUACUUAGUGGGUAGGGGUAAAAUCCUCUGAUCCAUUGAAGACCACCAGUGGCGAAGGCGGCUUGCCAGAACGCGCUCGACGGUGAGGGAUGAAAGCUGGGGGAGCAAACCGG
rnacentral:rRNA from 1 species